UCUGAAGGAUUGCUGACCACUGCUCUCAACUGCAGGUCUCUUCCCUUUGCCUCGAUCCACAACGUCUCUUUCCUUCAUGAUUUCUGCCCCUUUCUCAACAAUCAAGGCCCGGUUCACUACAUCCCUGUACGUAGAUAGGUUUGACGCCUGGACCAAUCGAAAAAUCGCAGGUCGCAAACCCACCUCAAAUAUGCGAGCCUUGUCCUCAUCAUCUCGAACCACAAAAGGAACACAGUGCAGUAAUCGGAAGAACUCUCGCUCAUACUCUGCCACUGUCCUGUCCCCCUGCCUCAGGUUUCUCAGAUCCCUUUCCAUCUGUCUCUUUACACUCUGAGGAAAGUAAGUAGUCAACAACAAUUCCUUGAACCUGUUCCACGUAAUAGUGGGCAAAUCAAUACGGGGAUCCUCACGAAUAUCCACCCACCACCUGUAAGCCUCGCCGUCAAGGUGGUGCGUCGCAAACCAAACCCGAUAUCGCUCCUCGACGAAUGUAUCAUAGAAUAGCUUCUCCAUGUGCAUUAGCCAUUUCUCAACGACCCAAUGAUCCGCCUUCUCCCCGUCAAAGAUACGAGGGGUACAGCGACAGAAUUCAUUCAGUCGUUCCAUCAUCCGCUCUCGCUCCUCAACCCCCACCAUCUCAGGUAACACUGUCCUUGUCGUAGCCAUAUGCACUGGUGGUGGUACCACUGUCUCCUGUCGGGUCUCUACCCUCGGGGCUACUGGGGGUGUAUCGGGUACCGGUGACGGUGCUCUCGCAGUCGUGCCCCUCUCUGGUGCUAUAGGUACAGAAUCUGGCAGUACAGAAUCUGGAAUCUCUCUGUCGGUCGUCUGCCGCAGUAACAGAUCCUCUAACCUCUUCAUCCUGUCCUUCUGUCGACGCGCAGCAUCCAUCUGCUGUCGUGCUGCCGCAGCCUACUGAGUAACCAAAUUCGUCAAUAUCGCAAGCUGAUCCUGUAACUCCCUGACCUCACUGGACCCCGAGGUGACGGAAGUCUCUACUUCUUCCGCAGCGGCCGCCUCAGUCGCCCCGGUUGUCCCAGAACGAGUCGUAGGCAUCUUACACUGCAGCACAAAAACAAACAUAGGUCAAUAAACCCUAUACUAUUGAAUCCUCAUUGUGGAUAUAAACCAGCUAAUGAAGCGAAAGUAAUGAAAUGUAACGCGUACUAACUUCCGAUGUCACGUUGUCGGCCGCCAACGUGACCCUCUGCAAAGUUAGUAAUUGCACAUCCCGAUCAAACUCCUACUAUUCGGAGUUUAUAAGUACCCAAUCAAAGUACUUUCGCUAACAACAACCUCGACUAGACAUCGUCUCUCACGAGCCUAUCCUUAUAGUCCAACCAGCCUAAGGUUUGCUAGGUCUACUAAGACUCAACCCUAGGCUCUGAUACCACUAUAAUCUGUCACGCCCGGGUACCAGCAGAAGCAUAUCCGGCACGUGCACAGAUCCGCCAUACACCUGCAGUAUAUAAGGCGUCUACGAAGAAAGCAAGUUGAUAGGAAGUAAAACAAAGAGAGUCCUAUCCUGAUAUCAGAGCAAUGUACAAGUCAUUAUACUAUCAGAAAAAGAACAAAGGAAAAUACAAUCCAAAAGCUCGACAGAAGAGAAGUAUCACAACUGUAGUUCUCGGUCCAAGUAGUACAUAUACAUCACGAGUAUACAAAAUAGGAUAGGUACAAUGGUGGUUUCUCUAUACAAAGGGACAUCACCCUCGGUCGUAGCCCGAGUAGCAAGGUGAUUGACUAGCACGCUCCUAGCAAAGUCUAGCUAGACGCGACUCCCUUGCCACGAUCCCUAGCCUCUCCUGUAGAUGGCUCUGUAAAAAUAACCAUAAAAAGGGCGUGAGAACUAUCAACAAUAGUUCCCAGUGGGUAAGCCGCCAGCCUUGGCGAAUUACACCAUUAGGCUCAUGAUGUACUAAAUGGAAAAUAAAAGCAAUAAUUGCAUGAUGCUAACAAGUAAUGAGCAUGUAAUUACAGGAUACCUGUCCAAUGCUAAGCAAUUAAUGAACAUGUAAACAACAUGUAAUAGCUUUCGACAGUAAUGAAUUGAACAAUAAAAGCAUAGCAGCUACUGUAAGCAUAAACAUAAAUAUGAAUGUGUAAGCAGAAACUAUACACAACGACUGGUGAUCAAUCAUUACCGUCCAAAGUCCUUUAGCACAUUCUAUUCAUUCACAAGGACCUACCCAAGGUAGUCCAGCUUGCGCCGCGCCUAAUAGCCCCGUGGUAGUAUACACUCCCCACGACAAUCCACUUCGGCACCCAAUCCCGCAUGGGCGAACAACUGUCGCGUAGGCCAACUCCGGAGUGCCGACUUGUAGGGAGCAACCCUCACAAGCGUGUGCGAAUGAGCACGAUGGCAAGCAAGCAUAUUUCACAGUCCACAGGUCUCAAUUAUCAUGUUUCAUUGUAAUGUUCUUACCCUCGAUCCUCUGAUCGGAAUUUCAAUACACAAAUAGUAACAAGAACUAGUAUCCACUAGAUUGUAAUCAUGUAAGAGUAAUGCUAAAUCACAUGGCAUUAUCAGCAUAGUCAUAAGCAUGUCAUAGUUCUCUACUUUAGAGUCGAGUCAAGAGAAUGUCAUUGUUCUCUACUUAAUAAGUGCGUAAGUCAUUCAACUGAAUUGAAUAUAAUUGUAAAUACUUCAUGUAUAUGUGUUCUCUACUUUAUAGAGAUUUCAAUUCAAUUUUACUCCUCAAGUCCUAUAUCAAACACAAAAGCUCACAACGACACCAUUCUAUAGUACAUAUAGAACAUAGGGGAGCUCCACUUGCUCUGGUUAGGUCCGACCCACCUAUUAUGAAGCUCCAAGUAGUCACACGAAGUCCCAAUAAUCAGCUCAACAAGGCUCCAAUCCUGCUGAAAACGAAAUACCAAAAUCGCGCCGGAAUGAUUACUCAAACUCCAAUUUCGGCAAAAUUGCAAUAAGUACAAGGUGGAAACUUAAUUCUUUGUUUUGGGCUGAAGUUAAUACCUCAACUAAGCCUCAAAAAGUCUCACAAGUCAGCUAAGAGACAAUCCAAAGCUUGCUUGCGCUCUAGCUGCGAAUAACAUCAAAACUGCGUCAAAAAUACAUAUACACAAGCUAGUAUGGCUAAAAUCUUGUGAAUUUAGCUUUUCCGACUAAAUUUCCUGCUUACCUCAGGCUAGAACACUUCUAAACCAGUCCCCACAAUCACCAAUUACGCUCAAUUUAAGUCGGAACUCUGCUGCGAACCGCGAUCCCAAAACUGCAUCAAAUUGCAUCAUUAGUCUCCGUAGAGAGUCCGAUUUAGCUUCAUAAAGACUAAAUUCACGCUAUUAAGCUUCAAAAUAGUUAAUCCCUGGUCUAAGGAGAUUCCUUAACAACUAAAUAAAGCAUCUUUAUUGGCUGAAAUCUCAGUGAAGGUCAGCUGGAAGCAAAACCCAAAAGCACUACUCAAAUCGACUAAAAGGACGUCGAUAACGGAGAAGAAUCGAAUCAAUUACCUCCUCAGACUUCCAACCAGAGAACUCCUGGUUUAGGGAUGCAAAACAAACUUCCAAAACACUCUCUUGCACGUGCGCAAAGGCGCUGUAACGCUCGCGAGUAGCGGAGAGCAAGCGCGGCGACGAAAACGGGCGAAAUUGGCGAGUUCUUCGUGGAGAGAGAAAAAUCCUAGAGAGAGAAAGAGAGAGAGAUGGUAGAACACUCCUCUGCACUCCAGCAACAUCCACAGAGCUCCUGGGGUCGAGCUGGGUCCAUAAGAUAGGGAUAAGUAUGUGAAAUUACCAAAAUACCCCCGCUGCCACGUUUCUUCAUUGCUGUACCGGUACAAGCUAAUGGCUGUACCGGUACAAGCUAAUGGCUGUACCGGUACAGCAAGCAGAAAAAGCUGAUUUCGCCCGAGCAACGCACUUUCUUGCUUCUAGCCUUCCAAUCACCCUCUAACUUGUUCAAAAGCUUGUCCAAGGCUUUUAGAACAUGUUGAAUAGUUUCCCAAUUCAUUCCACACACUCGAACUCGGCAAAUUGCGAAAGUUCAGUAUAUUACAUGGAGAUAGUGACUCCUAACACACCCUUGAGGUUGAUGACUUUGGUAGUGCAACCUACUCUUUUGGAUAGAAUCAAAGAGAAGCAAGUUUCCGAUUUGGAAUUGCAAACGAUUCGAGGUAAAAUGGUUGAUGGUUGCAUUGGUGACUUCCUUUUGGACGAUCAAGGAUUGAUGCGUUUCCGUCGGCGGAUUUGUGUACCCGCGGAUUCGGGGAUUAAAGAGGAUAUUCUUCAAGAAGCACACCGAGCGCCGUAUGCUAUACAUCCGGGAGGCACCAAGAUGUACAAGGAUUUAAAGUUGCUCUAUUGGUGGCCCGGGAUGAAGAAGGAUGUUGGCGAGUUCGUUGCUAGAUGUUUAACUUGCCAACAAGUGAAAGCGGAGCACCGAGUUCCCGCAGGAAAGCUUCAGAGUUUACCUAUUCCCGUGUGGAAAUGGAAGAAGAUCACUAUGGAUUUUGUGACUGGAUUGCCUCGCUCUCAGGCCGGGCAUGAUGCUAUUUGGGUGAUCGUGGAUAGGUUGACGAAGUCGGCGCACUUCAUACCUAUUCAUACUACUUGGACCGGAGAGAAGCUCGCGCAAGUGUACCUAGAGGAGAUUGUGCGACUUCAUGGAGUGCCUACAUCGAUUGUAUCUGAUCGCGACACGCGCUUCGUGUCUCACUUUUGGAGGAGUCUGCAGGACGCCUUAGGCACCCGAUUGGAUUUCAGUAUAGCAUUCCACCCCCAGAGUGAUGGACAGUCGGAGCGCACUAUACAGACCUUAGAGGAUAUGCUCCAGGCUUGUGUUAUAGACUUCCAGGGAGGAUGGUCGCAGCAUCUACCUAUGGCAGAGUUUGCUUAUAACAACAGUUAUCAAGCAAGCAUCAAGAUGGCGCCCUUUGAAGCACUUUAUGGACGGAAGUGUAAAUCGCUGCUUCAUUGGAGCGAAGUUGGCGAGAGAUUGGCUUUAGGCCCUGAUGUGCUCCGGGAAGCUGAGGACAAAGUUCGCAUUGCUCGGGAGCGACUUUUGGUAGCGCAGAGCAGGCAGAGGAGCUAUGCUGAUCGGCGGCGGCGAGACUUGGAGUUCCAAGUUGCAGACCAUGUUUUCUUAAAGGUCUCGCCGACUAGAGGAAUAAAGAGAUUUGGGAUUCGGGGGAAGUUGAGUCCCCGUUUCAUUGGACCGUAUGAGGUUUUGGAGCGUGUAGGCCCGGUAGCGUAUAGACUUGCUCUACCGCCGAACCUAUCGGGUGUGCACAACGUCUUUCACGUAUCGGUCCUUCGGAGGUACAUUCAUGAUCCAGCUCAUGUUUUGGAGGCUAUGCCAGUGGAGCUGCGCGAGGAUUUGAGCUUCGAGGAGCAACCAGUGAAGAUUUUGGCUCGCGAGGUGAAGAAGCUAAGGAAUCGGGAUAUUCCAUAUGUGAAGGUCCUUUGGAGCAACCACGGGGAGCGGGAGGCCACGUGGGAGCUAGAGAGCGCGCUGCAGGAGCGCUAUCCCCAUCUUUUUCAGAUGGAGGCUUGAGGUACUUUGCCUUUUUCGAGUUUCGCGGACGAAACUCCUUUUUAGGAGGGGUGAAUGUAGCACACUGGACCUUUGCAAAUUGCGAGGUUCGAGUGUUCGAUAUGUAUUCCAAACUUUUCCACACUUGGUGGAGGGCCGUCGAUGGUAUACCGGCCUAAAAGUUCGAUCUUUAGAGUUUUGGCAAGUCCUGAGAGUUUUCACUCUCGGGGACCGGUCCUUGAUAUGAGAGACCGGUCCCCUCAGCACAGUGCUGCGACAGGGCUUGAGGCAACCGGUCCCUGGCUGUAACAUACCAGAUUUUGGUAUAAAAAUAAAAAAAAUAAAUAAAAAUAGUGUGAGAAACUAUUUUUAUUGGAUUUGUAGAAGUAAAACAUAAGUCAGAAGUGACUUGUGCUGAAAUCGGAAUGAAAACAGAAGAUCUAGAAUUUUCUGUUGGAAACGGGACAGAUAAAUUAGCAGAAAAUGCACAGUCUCAGAAAAUUAUGAAAGUUGGCAAAGAUGUCAGAAAUAUUUUUAUGAGGCUAGAUUUAAGGUUUCAUAUUUUUCUGACACCCGUAGAGUGAGAAAUAAAAUUCGAUACCUAUCUGAUAAAGAUUACAGUUCGGUACAGUUUUCAGUGACCAAACGGGGUCGAAACUGAACCAGCGAUCGUCAGCUUGUUAAGUUAAGUAAAACCGAACAUGACUGUCAAGUUUGAGCUCAAACGGACAUUCAGGGAGCUCCGGCGAAAGUUAUCAGAUUUCAAGCUGCCCGAGAGUGAAUAGUGUCUUGGGGGUAUUAUUAAGAAGCUGUUGCUUCUUUCUUCUUCUCCUUCAGCAGCACACACCCCACACACGCCACACACACGCAAGGAGAGGGAGGAAGAGAGAACCCACCCAUUUUCUCUCCAAAUCUCUCCCAAAAUUGAAGGUUUUGGUGGAGAAGCAAGCUUGGAAGUUGAUCUUCAUCUUCUUCGUUUUCUUCCUCUCCAUUGGAGCAUGCUUUGAAGGUAAGCUUCAAACCCUUUAAUGGCAUUUCUCUAUUGCUUGGGUUUUAAGCUCUAGAAACGAAUUAGUAGCUUUCCUAGAUGCUAAGUAGAUGAUUUAUGCUUAGAUCCUAAGUUCUAAUGGUGGAUUUUUACCUAUUGAAACCUAGAGCUCCAAAAUGAGGGCUUUAAUGGUAGAUCUCUAAAGAUAGAUCUAAAUGCUUUGAAAAUGGUUUUAGUGGAACCCAUUGAUGUCUAAUAGAUGAUUAAUGCUUGAAUCAUAGAGCAAUUUAAUGAUUUCUUGCAUAGUUGUAAACCUAGGGCUCAAAAUGCAAACUUUCAAUAUAUGAGGGUUUGAUCUCAUUUGACCCUCCGUAAACCAAAUUGCUAGGUAACGAAACGCGUUGGCGAAGACGGUUCGGCAAUCCGACGAGCCGUUACAAAGUUAUUAAAGAAAUGGACGUUUAGGCUUCGGGUCCGCCGGGAGGGCCGAGGCGAUAUCGUAAAUUCAUGAAAAUGGAUUUGAAGCAUCGUGGCACAUAACCGAAGACCUUUAAUUUUCGGAUCGUGAAUUGGAGGCCGUUCGGGUGGUCGCGUGAGAGAUCGGGCCAAACCGGGUGCCGGGUGCCGCGGGAGGCCGAUUGCAAGUGUCGACAAGCAAUCGGAAUGCGAAAUGAGGUGGGUUGUGCUUACCGAAGCGACUAGGUCGCCCUUUAUGUCUAAGAAAUGAGAUUUCAUAUUGAUGCAUAUUGACAUAAUAUAAGAAUGUGAAAAGAAUGCAUGUUAACAUACUAUAGAAAUGCUAAAUGUAAUGCAUAAUGAAUUAAGUGCUAAAAGAAUGCAUGAGAUGCUAAGUAUGGACUAUUUUGGAUAAUGACUAUAUGUAUGUUGACAAAUCAUGUGAUGCUAGUGGUAUAUGUGCAUGAUGAUAUAUUAUGAAUUUACAUAUUGUGGAUUAUGUUAAAUAGAAAAACAUACUUGAUGACAUAUUGCCAUGUUGUGGAACAUAGUGGACAAUCUAUAUAUAUAUUAGAUCGAGUGGCAUUAAACCUAGCAUCUUGAACCUAGCAAACACUUGUGGUGAUUGAUCAUAUAUAUUCUGGUGUCAUUCAUGUAUGUUAGGACCCUAUUAUUGUGUAAAUGUGAGAGUUGGACUUGAACAUUAGUAAACAAGGGUGACAAUGACAAUAGAGACAUGAUUGGCAUCAAGAAAGUGAUUGUUAAACAUAGUUUAACCAUAUUGACAUUGGUCCAAGUUGACAUAGAGUGGCAUGAUUAAAUAGGUAGAAACCUAUUGUGACAUUGGCAUUGUGACUAGUGGCUAUGUAUCCUCAAGUUGAGGAUUGGAUCGAUACUCACGAUAAGUCUUGGCUUGAGGGAGGUAGCUCCCCCUCGGGCGGUGCGCUCCGGAGUUGGUCACCACUGGGCGUGGUAAAGUCCCACCAGUUGACGGUCCCUAGGGAGGUUCGAGUCCCCCGUUAUUAAGGGAUUUGGUUGUGAGUUAUUGGGGUUAACAUGGUUAACCGGUAAGAUUGGGUCAUAGCCAAAUGAGUGUACAACAAGUAUGCAUUAUGAGUUAUGGAUUUGGUAUCCUAGUCGAGAGGAUUUAGGGCUGAGGUGUAUGUGAGACGUCCAUCGCCUCGAGCCUGGUUCUAGUGCGGUACUCCGCAGACGAUUGACUCAAGACCGAGUCGGGUGGUUAGCCUUGUAAAGGUAGAUGAAACUUUAUGAUUAAAACGGUGAUUGACAAGAAUCUAAGAUAGAGGAAACCUUAGAUAUCGAAUGGAUGAGCUAUGGUUAGCAGAAUUGAAAGUAGUAUCGAAUGAACUACUAGUUGGUUGCAUAGUUGCAUUAUUGCAUGAUUUGCAUAUAGCAUUGCAUUAUUGCAUUCGUGAGGCAAAGCAUGGUUUUAUUAGUUGCAUAAUAAAGAUAUAUAUCUAUCUGUUUAUUGAACUAACUUGCAGUUGCCUCCCUUGGACCUAUUGGUCGAGCUCUUCCCUUGGGUGGCCGUACCCACUGGGAACCAUGGAGUUGGUUCUCACCCCACGUGGUUUUGGGGUUUUUACAGGUUCGCACGUGAGCGGCGCGGCAGCGCGAGGAAAGGGCGUAGCUCCGUAGAUAGCGCCCUACCCCAGAGACCAGAGCUAGCAGUACCCCGUCGACAUAGCUUAGGGGUUAAAGAAAUGAAAAGAACACAAUGUAACAUGAUGUAUUAAAGAUAUAAAUGUUGUAAUAAUCUAGAUUGCAUUUGGAUGAAAAAGGAAUGGUACUUGAGGUGUAAAAUGCAUGAAUAUGAAUGAAUGUAAUAAUAUAGGAUGUGUUUAUGUUGUUUGAUACCUUCCAUUAUUGCAAUCUUGAUUGAAAUGUGUUCCUGGUUGGAACUUCGCACAUUGUAUUGAUUGCAAUGCCUUGAACGUACAUGGGAGACUCUGUCCGCAGUACAGGGGAAACCCUGUCCGUUCGGCGAUCUGUCGGCGGCGCCGCGACCCGGCCAAAUAGGCGGGCGGUCGCGGGGCGUGACACUGGCUGUGAGAGACCGGUUCCCGAACGCUGGCUUUGCGGGACGAGCCGAGAGACCGGUUCCUGGCAGGGAGAGACUGGUCCCUCAGCGCGUGAGCGGCCCAGACCGGGCAGUGCACAGAAUGGUUUUUUGAGGGACCUAAGUGGAUUUUGUCACCUUAGAGGCUUUAGGCAGCCUCUCUUCCCCCUCUCACUCUCAUUUCUCUCCCUCACACUCUUCCUACACUUCUAGAGAGAGAAAAGGAAGGAGAAGAAGGAGAAGGAGAGGAGAGGAGCUUGCUUGGAGGUCUCUUUCCUUUGCUUCGAUCCACAACAUCUCUUUUCUUCAUGAUUUCUGCCCCCUUCUCAACAAUCAAGGCCCGGUUCACGACAUCCCGGUAAGUGGAGAGGUUUGACGCCUGGACCAAUCUGAAGAUCGCAGGUCGCAAACCCCCCUAAAAAAUGCGAGCCUUGUCCUCAUCAUCUCGAACUACAAAAGGAACACAGUGCAGUAAUCGAGAGAACUCGCGCUCAUACUCUGCCACUGUCCUGUCCCCCUGCCUCAGGUUUCUCAGAUCCCUUUCCAUCUGUCUCUUUACACUCUGAGGAAAAUAAGUAGUCAAUAACAAUUCCUUGAAUCUGUUCCACGUAAUAGCAGACAAAUCAGCACGGGGAUCCUCACGAAUGUCCACCCACCACCUGUAAGCCUCGCCGUCAAGGUGGUGUGUCGCAAACCAAACUCGGUACCGCUCCUCAACAAAAGUGUCAUAGAAUAGCUUCUCCAUGUGCAUUAGCCAUUUCUCGACCACCCAGUGAUCUGCUUUCUCCCCGUCAAAGACACGAGGGUUGCAGCGACGGAAUUCAUUCAGUCGUUCCAUCAUCCGCUCUCGCUCCUCAACCCCCACCAUCUCAGGUAACACUGUCCC
rnacentral:lncRNA from 1 species